rnacentral:lncRNA from 1 species
UUUGCCGUUCAUCGUCAAAUUCAUCUAAAAUUAUGGAGCAGCCUUAGCCAAAACAAAGAUUUUCGCCAUGUGCGACCAUUUUGAUCUCAUAUCGUAAAAUAAGGUAUCUUUUUUUAUUUUUCUUGUUUCAUCCUGUUCAAGUCUCCACUUGAUCUAUCUGAAUUCAGAUUAAUUAAUUUAAGUAACUCUUAUUUUAAUAAUCAUUAUUUUCUGCAGGUUCAAUGUCGCAUAUGUUUGACUUUCCUAUUUAAACAAAACUACCUCACAGUGUGUUGACCCCAGCAGCACUUCUAGACCCCAGAUUUAAAUCACUCUAGUUCUGCUGUUCCUCCAAGUGCAACAGGUGCAAUGAAGCCAUCAGUAGACUGCGGUCAGACUGUGCCUCUGUAAUUGGACGCACAAAUGAUCCCCAACCGGAACCGUCUUUACGUCUGCACCCACUUCAGAUAACCAUUGGCAAGAUCUCAUCAUUGAAGUGGGCAGGCAGACUAAAAGUGCCACAGCUGAUGCCAUCCAGGAGGUGCAGAGAUACCUGGCAGAGGGCAAUAUCACCAGGUCCCAGGAUCCUGAGAUACUGGGUCAACCAAAAGACAACCUAUGCAAACCUCUUCUGGCUUUCCUUACAAUUUCUCUGCACUCCAGUCUCAUCUGUGCAAUGUGAACAGGUCUUUUCUGCAACUGGAGAAGUCAAAUAAAGCUAUCAGACUCAAUUCUAAAUUUUUUUUUUUUUUUUACCAAAAAGCAAAACGCAUCAACCUGUUCUAACACAACCCCAUAUAACUUUAUAUGGCUCUUAUUUCUCCCUUCCAGUAAACAGCAUCACCUUUUCUCUACUGAGAAGCAAAGGCCUCAUUUCAUCCCCCAUUCCUAUACUUUGGUUAUCCCAUCCCUUUUUUUUCUUGCCCUCUUUUUAUUUCUUCCUCUCUUCCAUAAUGCUCCAUCAUCAGCAAAUAAUGAUAUUCCCAAACACUGAGGCACAUUAUUAAAAAUGUCAGAAACAAGGUAGGACUAAUUACAUUAUGCCAUUCUCCACCUCGAUUUCUCUCAACAACUUGCCUUAUGUCUUGUGCAGUUCACAUGUGCCUCUCUGGGUGUUUUGUCUACUCUGUCAGGUAUGGUCAGGUUUGUUUGGGGGCAGUGGUGGUUUUUGGCACGGUUGCACGGGGCAGCAUUUUUUUCAA